AUGCUCACUUCAGCAGCACAUAUACUAAAAUUGGAAUGAUACGGAGAAGAUUAGCUCCUGUGCAAGGAUAACACACAUCCCCUGAUGACUAAGGACCUUGAGCACUUCUUU